rnacentral:rRNA from 1 species
GAUGAACGUUGGCGGCAUGCUUAACACAUGCAAGUCGAACGACCCCCUUCGGGGGGGAGUGGCGAACGGGUGCGUAACACGUAGGUGACUUGCCCAGAAGAGGGGGAUAACCAUUGGAAACGAUGGCUAAUACCGCAUGAGCGACUAUCGAUUAGAUAGGUAGUCGGAAAGUGUUUAGCGCUUCUGGAGAGGCCUGCGGCCUAUCAGGUAGUUGGUGGGGUAAAAGCCUACCAAGCCAAUGACGGGUAGCUGACCUGAGAGGGUGGUCAGCCACAGGGGAACUGAGAAACGGUCCCC